rnacentral:rRNA from 1 species
CCUACGGGAGGCAGCAGUGGGGAAUUUUGGACAAUGGGCGAAAGCCUGAUCCAGCCAUGCCGCGUGCAGGAUGAAGGCCUUCGGGUUGUAAACUGCUUUUGUACGGAACGAAAAGGUCUUUUCUAAUAAAGAAGGCUCAUGACGGUACCGUAAGAAUAAGCACCGGCUAACUACGUGCCAGCAGCCGCGGUAAUACGUAGGGUGCGAGCGUUAAUCGGAAUUACUGGGCGUAAAGCGUGCGCAGGCGGUUAUAUAAGACAGUUGUGAAAUCCCCGGGCUCAACCUGGGAACUGCAUCUGUGACUGUAUAGCUAGAGUACGGUAGAGGGGGAUGGAAUUCCGCGUGUAGCAGUGAAAUGCGUAGAUAUGCGGAGGAACACCGAUGGCGAAGGCAAUCCCCCUGGACCUGUACUGACGCUCAUGCACGAAAGCGUGGGGAGCAAACAGGAUUAGAUACCCUGGUAGUCCACGCCCUAAACGAUGUCAACUGGUUGUUGGGUCUUCACUGACUCAGUAACGAAGCUAACGCGUGAAGUUGACCGCCUGGGGNGGACGGCGCGAGUAGUUAAGUUAAAGUAAGUUAGUUAGGCGNGNGAGNGCGACGGACGACGACGAGGGAGGAGG